CUUGGUCAUUUAGAGGAAGUAAAAGUCGUAACAAGGUUUCCGUAGGUGAACCUGCGGAAGGAUCAUUAACGAAUUUCGAUUCGGUCUUCUGUGCUGGUGGCAACACAUGUGCACGUCGAUCGUAAUUCCAUCCUCCUUUCAAUUGUCCAAGUGCGUUCGGUCGGCCUCUGGGUCGAAGAAGCGUGGCUGCCAGGCUCGUUUCGUUCUGAAUGCACAUUGGUUAUUUCACCCACUCUGGGUACUAGAAACAAAGAAAUAUUCAUAUAAACUAUACAACUUUCAACAACGGAUCUCUUGGCUCUCGCAUCGAUGAAGAACGCAGCGAAAUGCGAUAAGUAAUGUGAAUUGCAGAAUUCAGUGAAUCAUCGAAUCUUUGAACGCACCUUGCACCCUUUGGUAUUCCGAAGGGUACGCCCGUUUGAGUGUCGUUGUACUCUCAAUCCUACAAUUUUUGUUGUACGGAUUGGACUUGGGUCCUGUUGCGCUCUGCAACUGAUCCGAAAUGUAUCAGCGUGUGUCCGUCGUGACGAUGAACCGAUUGUUAAGUUUCAUCGGGCUCGCUUUGUCGAGGUCGUCUGACGAAAUGCAUGCCUAACCCUCCUAUACUUUGACAAUUCGACCUCAAAUCGGGUGGGAUCACCCGCUGAACUUAAGCAUAUCAAUAAGCGGAGGA
rnacentral:rRNA from 1 species